UUUGAUCUGGUUUAAAUUACUCUAAAACAUGCGCUUGUCGAGCGCAAGAUGCGCUUGAAUGACGCGGUCAGUU
rnacentral:tRNA from 1 species